AUGUGUGCUCCUGGGCUGAUGUCUACAUUUUCCAUAAUCAGCAGUGGAACAUUUGCAUUUCUGCACUUUACUUGGGGCAGUGUGGACCAUGCGAUUAGAGGAUCCUCCAAUGGUCAAGGACUCCGUUUGCACCAGGUUGAGGAGGCAAACAAGACCAGUAAUGGACUUUCCAAGGUAUCUAUUCACCUUCAAUGGCUUCCAGCCCAGCUGUUGCUCGUCAUGACGUGAGAUCUGCCCAAAGUUCUCCUCAUAGU